rnacentral:rRNA from 1 species
ACGAACGCUGGCGGCGUGCUUAACACAUGCAAGUCGAACGGAAAGGCCCCCUUGUGGGGUACUCGAGUGGCGAACGGGUGCGUAACACGUGAGUAACCUACCCUUGACUUUGGGAUAACUUCAGGAAACUGGGGCUAAUACCGGAUAGGAGCUCCUGCUGCAUGGUGGGGGUUGGAAAGUUUCGGCGGUUGGGGAUGGACUCGCGGCUUAUCAGCUUGUUGGUGGGGUAGUGGCUCACCAAGGCUUUGACGGGUAGCCGGCCUGAGAGGGUGACCGGCCACAUUGGGACUGAGAUACGGCCCAGACUCCUACGGGAGGCAGCAGUGGGGAAUAUUGCACAAUGGGCGGAAGCCUGAUGCAGCAACGCCGCGUGCGGGAUGACGGCCUUCGGGUUGUAAACCGCUUUCGCCUGUGACGAAGCGUGAGUGACGGUAAUGGGUAAAGAAGCACCGGCUAACUACGUG